GCACCCUUAUAACGCCUCAUACAUGAUUAGUGCCCGAAUGGAGAUCAACCAACCGAAACAACUAACAAGUGUACACAAUUCUCAAACAACGUAUUAGGUCAUAAGAGAACCUCAAUUGAUUAACUGUGCGAGCCUUAAACAGAGCAGAGUGCACAUAAACAUUUUAUUGGAUAAACAGUUUUCAUUACAUUAAAUAAAUAAUUUGCAUUUCAUUGAAACAUUUAGAGCUUAAUAACUCAAUCAUACUUUGUACAUUUGGAAAGUAAGCCCACCUGGUUAGGCAAAGCCUGAAGAUCAUAAUCACUUAUA
rnacentral:lncRNA from 1 species